rnacentral:lncRNA from 1 species
CUGGAUGUGAUGAAGAAUCAUCUGAUGCAUGCUGUGAGAGAAGAGGUGGAGAUUCUGAAGGAGCAGAUACUAGAGCUGAUGGAGAUGAACUCCUAGCUGGAGUGCAACAACACCCUCUUGAAAACCCUGGCGAGCCCAGAGCAGCUGGAGAAGUUCCAGUCUGGUCUGAGCCCUAAAGAGGAAGCUCCAGAAUCCCAAGUGCCUGAGGCCCUUGGUGGUUCUGCAGUGUA